UCCCCGUUUCACAGGGCAGUCUGACCAAAGUGCUUGCUCCUUGCGGAGCAGAAGCAACAGGCCACGAGGGUUGCGCUCGUUGCGGGACUUAACCCAACAUCUCACGACACGAGCUGACGACAGCCAUGCAGCACCUGUGCAAAGUUUCCCUUGCGGGAAUCGCCGGCUUUCACCGACUUAGCGAUGCAUGUCAAGCCCAGGUAAGGUUCUUCGCGUUGCAUCGAAUUAAGCCACAUACUCCACCGCUUGUGCGGGCCCCCGUCAAUUUCUUUGAGUUUUAAUCUUGCGAUCGUACUCCCCAGGCGGCGCGUUUAACGCGUUAGCUUCGGCACGGAAGGGGUCGAAUCCUCCCAUACCAAACGCGCACCGUUUACUGCCAGGACUAC
rnacentral:misc_RNA from 1 species